GUGGGGAAUCUUAGACAAUGGGCGCAAGCCUGAUCUAGCCAUGCCGCGUGAGCGAUGAAGGCCUUAGGGUUGUAAAGCUCUUUCGUGGGGGAAGAUAAUGACUGUACCCCAAGAAGAAGCCCCGGCUAACUCCGUGCCAGCAGCCGCGGUAAUACGGAGGGGGCUAGCGUUGUUCGGAAUUACUGGGCGUAAAGCGCACGUAGGCGGAUUGGAAAGUUGGGGGUGAAAUCCCGGGGCUCAACCCCGGAACUGCCUUCAAAACUCCCAGUCUUGAGUUCGAGAGAGGUGAGUGGAAUUCCGAGUGUAGAGGUGAAAUUCGUAGAUAUUCGGAGGAACACCAGUGGCGAAGGCGGCUCACUGGCUCGAUACUGACGCUGAGGUGCGAAAGCGUGGGGAGCAAACAGGAUUAGAAACCCUGGUAGUCC
rnacentral:rRNA from 1 species